rnacentral:snRNA from 1 species
UGAUUAACUUCAAAUACACUACAGCAUCUGUUCACCCCAUUGAUCGCCAGGGUUGAUUUGGCUGAUCUGGCUGGCUAGGCAAGUAUCCCCUUCCUCCCUCACUGCUCCAAGUGCGUCCCUCCCGAAGCUGCGCGGGAGCUAUGUAGGUCAAAGAGGACAACCUUUCCCGACAGAGGAGAGGACCAUUCUUUGAUCAAGGGUAUAGAGUAGCCGCGCUCCCCUGCUAGAACCUCCAAACAAGCUCUCAAAUACACUACAGAAUAUCUUGUCAGCUUUAUAUAUACUGUUUCAAUAAAGAUAAGCUUAAGUACUAUGUGCCCUU